CCCUCAUAUUGUUUUUGUAGUGAAUGUGUUCUCUAGAGGUAGAUUGAAUAGUCCUUCAUAUUGUUUUUGUAGUGAAUGUGUUCUCUAGAGGUAGUUUGAAUAGUCCUUCAUAUUGUUUUUGUAGUGAAUGUGUUCUCUAGAGGUAGUUUGAAUAGUCCUUCAUAUUGUUUUUGUAGUGAAUGUGUUCUCUAGAGGUAGUUUGAAUAGUCCUUCAUAUUGUUUUUGUAGUGAAUGUGUUCUCUAGAGGUAGAUUGAAUAGUCCUUCAUAUUGUUUUUGUAGUGAAUGUGUUCUCUAGAGGUAGUUUGAAUAG